rnacentral:rRNA from 1 species
UACGAAGGGGGCUAGCGUUGUUCGGAAUUACUGGGCGUAAAGCGCACGUAGGCGGACUGUCAAGUCAGGGGUGAAAUCCCGGGGCUCAACCUCGGAACUGCCUCUGAUACUGUCAGUCUAGAGUCCGGAAGAGGUGGGUGGAAUUCCUAGUGUAGAGGUGAAAUUCGCAGAUAUUAGGAAGAACACCGGUGGCGAAGGCGGCCCACUGGUCCGGAACUGACGCUGAGGUGCGAAAGCGUGGGGAGCAAAC